AUUGAACGCUGGCGGCAGGCCUAACACAUGCAAGUCGACCGAGUGGCGGACGGGUGAGUAAUGUCUGGGACACUGCCUGCUGGAGGGGGAUAACUACUGGAAAAGGUAGCUACUACCGCAUACCAUCGGAUGUGCCCAGAUGUGGUUAGCUAGUAGGUGGGUUAAAGGCUCACCUAGGCGACGACCCCUAGCUGGUCUGAGAGGCUGAUCAGUCACACGGGAACGGAGACACGGUCCAGACUCCUACGGUAGGCAGCAGUGGGGAAGAUUGGACAAUGGGCGAAAGCCUAAUGCAGCCAUGCCGCGUGUGUGAAGAAGUUCUUCGGAUUGUAAAGCACUUUAAGUUGGGAGGCGUUACCAACAGAAUAAGCACCGGCUAACUUCGUGCCAGCAGCCGCGGUAAUUC
rnacentral:rRNA from 1 species